UACGUAGGGAGCAAGCGUUGUCCGGAUUUACUGGGUGUAAAGGGUGCGUAGGCGGCAGUGCAAGUCAGGUGUGAAAACUAUGGGCUUAACCCAUAGAUUGCACUUGAAACUGUGUUGCUUGAGUGAAGUAGAGGCAAGCGGAAUUCCCGGUGUAGCGGUGAAAUGCGUAGAGAUCGGGAGGAACACCAGUGGCGAAGGCGGCUUGCUGGGCUUUAACUGACGCUGAGGCACGAAAGCGUGGGUAGCAAACAGGAUUAGAUACCCUGGUAGUCCAUGCUGUAAACGAUGAUUACUAGGUGUGGGUGGACUGACCCCAUCCGUGCCGGAGUUAACACAAUAAGUAAUCCACCUGGGAAGUACGACCGCAAGGUUGAA
rnacentral:rRNA from 1 species